GACGAACGUUGGCGGCGUGCUUAACACAUGCAAGUCGAACGGAAAGGCCCUGCUUUUGUGGGGUGCUCGAGUGGCGAACGGGUGAGUAACACGUGAGUAACCUGCCCUUGACUUUGGGAUAACUUCAGGAAACUGGGGCUAAUACCGGAUAGGAGCUCCUGCUGCAUGGUGGGGGUUGGAAAGUUUCGGCGGUUGGGGAUGGACUCGCGGCUUAUCAGCUUGUUGGUGGGGUAGUGGCUUACCAAGGCUUUGACGGGUAGCCGGCCUGAGAGGGUGACCGGCCACAUUGGGACUGAGAUACGGCCCAGACUCCUACGGGAGGCAGCAGUGGGGAAUAUUGCACAAUGGGCGGAAGCCUGAUGCAGCAACGCCGCGUGCGGGAUGACGGCCUUCGGGUUGUAAACCGCUUUCGCCUGUGACGAAGCGUGAGUGACGGUAAUGGGUAAAGAAGCACCGGCUAACUACGUGCCAGCAGCCGCGGUGAUACGUAGGGUGCGAGCGUUGUCCGGAUUUAUUGGGCGUAAAGGGCUCGUAGGUGGUUGAUCGCGUCGGAAGUGUAAUCUUGGGGCUUAACCCUGAGCGUGCUUUCGAUACGGGUUGACUUGAGGAAGGUAGGGGAGAAUGGAAUUCCUGGUGGAGCGGUGGAAUGCGCAGAUAUCAGGAGGAACACCAGUGGCGAAGGCGGUUCUCUGGGCCUUUCCUGACGCUGAGGAGCGAAAGCGUGGGGAGCGAACAGGCUUAGAUACCCUGGUAGUCCACGCUGUAAACGGUGGGUACUAGGUGUGGGGUCCAUUCCACGGGUUCCGUGCCGUAGCUAACGCUUUAAGUACCCCGCCUGGGGAGUACGGCCGCAAGGCUAAAACUCAAAGGAAUUGACGGGGCCCCGCACAAGCGGCGGAGCAUGCGGAUUAAUUCGAUGCAACGCGUAGAACCUUACCUGGGUUUGACAUGGAUCGGGAGUGCUCAGAGAUGGGUGUGCCUCUUUUGGGGUCGGUUCACAGGUGGUGCAUGGCUGUCGUCAGCUCGUGUCGUGAGAUGUUGGGUUAAGUCCCGCAACGAGCGCAACCCUUGUUCACUGUUGCCAGCACGUUAUGGUGGGGACUCAGUGGAGACCGCCGGGGUCAACUCGGAGGAAGGUGGGGAUGACGUCAAGUCAUCAUGCCCCUUAUGUCCAGGGCUUCACGCAUGCUACAAUGGCUGGUACAGAGAGUGGCGAGCCUGUGAGGGUGAGCGAAUCUCGGAAAGCCGGUCUCAGUUCGGAUUGGGGUCUGCAACUCGACCUCAUGAAGUCGGAGUCGCUAGUAAUCGCAGAUCAGCAACGCUGCGGUGAAUACGUUCCCCGGGGC
rnacentral:rRNA from 1 species